rnacentral:rRNA from 1 species
UACGGAGGGUGCAAGCGUUAUCCGGAUUCACUGGGUUUAAAGGGUGCGUAGGUGGAAUGGUAAGUCAGUGGUGAAAUCUCCAAGCUUAACUUGGAAACUGCCGUUGAUACUAUCAUUCUUGAAUAUCGUGGAGGUGAGCGGAAUAUGUCAUGUAGCGGUGAAAUGCUUAGAUAUGACAUAGAACACCGAGUUGCGAAGGCAGCUCACUACACGAUCAUUGACACUGAGGCACGAAAGCGUGGGGAGCAAACAGG